GGUCUGCAGAGCUCCAGGACUGGUCGCCCCCUGGGCGGGGGGACGAGGAGAGGCUGGAGAGAGAAAGGUCCCAGGAAUUACCUAGGACUUUGGUAGCUCCACCGGGCAGCUCAGACUGGGAAGGACACAGGAGCUAGGUCACCACUGUAGGAAGUGUGGGCAGGCUGUCCCCAAGCCUUAGCAGUGUGGCCGCAGAGGUUCAGUUCCACAAGCCCUCCUGGAAAUGGAGAAAGGGCCAGAUCCCUCCCAUGUUUUGAGGCUCCUAAUAUAUUUUAAAAAGACUUGUCGGACUUCCCUGGAGGUCUAGAGGUUAAGACUCUGCGCUUCCACUGCAGGGGGUGUGGAUUCGAUCCCUGGUCAGGGAACUAAGGUCCCACAUGUCACACAGCAUGGCCAAAAAAAAAAAAAAAAAAAAAAGGACUUGUCACACUAGGAGCUAUAAAUAUUGAAGUAUGUUUUAAAAUUCAGUUGAACAAAUGAACUCUUUCAUCGUGUAUUCAAAUGCAGUGCAGUACAUUUGGGCUACUGACAAGAUAAUUGGAGGGUUUGUUUUAAAAAUAUAUUACUUCCUCGGAGAAACGGCUGAUUCUGGGGCUGGGACAGGGAUAAAAGUGAGCUUGGAGUGUCUUGUGGUGCCAGAGUUAGGAAGUGCCCCAAACUCAAAAGGGUAGGAGUGUGUCAAACGGACUCGGGAGCCAAAAGCUCCCAAUGGCCAAAGCUGCAACAAUUAGAGCAAUAAAAUAGAUAAUGGAGUAUUAGAUAGUAACCCAAAGUAUAAAAUCCAUAUCCCUGAGUUGGUACUGGUAGAAAUAAAUUGUUGAAUAAAUAACUAGCUGGGUGGGGCCAGGGUAGAGACAAAUCUUACAAAUAACACAUGUAGGUUCUCCCUUCUCCAGGCUAAUUAUCCUCUCCUCUUCCUUUGAAUGUGCCCUGGGCUUAGUGACUUGCUUCUAAAUCACAGAGUAGGGAAAGGGAACAAUAGGAAGUGUAUGGUGGAGACACCUGGCAGACACCACCUUGACCGAGUGAUCAUGGUUACCACCACCCCAUGAUAAGUCAAGUGGCUAUCAUGUGCCCCCAACAGUAUGUGAUGAGGAGGGCAAUUCAUCCCUGUGGUAUUCUUCCCCAAACCCGUAACCCCAGAGAAAAACCUCAGACAAACUCUCAUUGAAGGCCAUUCUACAAAAUACUUGAUCAGGACUCCUCAAAACCGAAAGGGUCACGAAAAGCACGGAAAGACAGAAGCAGACCAGAGGACAUGAAGAGACACGCCGGGUGGAUGCAGUAUAGUUCCUGGUUGGAUCCUGGAACAGAGAGAGCAUUAAUGGAAAAGCUGCAAGCUCUCUGUUUCUUGCCAAUCACAAGUGAGAAAAGCAAGUAGUCCCAAGAGUUUCUGGAAGCCACCUUGUGACACUUCAGAGGAGGCAGAGCCAAGAGACUAGAAGAACACUGGUCCUCUGUAACAGCUGCUGGAUCGAGCCUUGCCUGAAGCUAUUCCUAGUUCUAGACUCUUUGCCUAUAGAUCAAUGACCUCACAAACCCUUUUUCGAAUAAAGAAGAUAAUUUUUUUGCAAGGAUGAGAACCUGUUUCUUCAUGAAGAGAGUUUGGAGGGAGCUUUUUGUUCUGCGAGGCCAACAUCUGGAUUUGACUAUGUCCAUCCUCAAAAGGAGAUUUCUCAUAAUGGACCGGACUCCAAACACUCAGAGCACAAGGACCGGUGCGUUUUCAAAAGGAGACACUUCCUGAGACGCGUGAGGGCCCUCGUGUCUCCGCAGCGCCAGCUCUGGAGGUCGGGGGAGGGCCCCGCGCCCUUGACGUCUAACUUUCACGCUGAAAGACUUUCCGUCACCUUCCGCCUCCCCGCCGUACUCCGGGAAUUUGGGACCUGAAUUCAUUUAAAAACACCUGUGGUUUCAGGGAGGCUCUUUUUUAUUAUAAGGCUGCCAAGGAGAUCUUACCAUGAAAAACCAUUUGAGAGACGAGAAAGAAGGAAGCCAGGCCAAGGCCGGCGCGGGCUGUGCGGUGGGUUUGGGAAGGAUGCUACGCGGGGCCCGGCCACCUGCGGACCACGCAGGCGGGUACGUGCCCGCGGAGGCGGGUUCGAAUUUCGGCCCUGCGGGUCCUUUCCGACGCGACCUUGGGGGAAGUUGUGUAACCUCUGCGCCCCGCGACGCGCUUUCCUGGAGCCCGAAACUGGAACGAAGCCUCUGGAAGCCCUGACAUCAGAGGUGACGCGAGUCUUCGCAGGCGAUGACUAGGCAAAACCCGCUGCCACUCCCUUUCCCGAGUCCCGGCCGCGCGGCGCGGGCGUGUCACCUCCGACCAGGUGUUUCUGGCUCCUUCAGCAGCUUCUCUACGGCCCCGCACCCCAGCGCCCCCGGGGCCCGCCAGACCCUCCCUGCCUCCUCGGCGACACCGCCGGGCCUCUGAUAACACAGCCCGUGGGCUGGGCUGUGGCGCCCCCUCGUGGUGACCGCAGGGAGGCGGGGCACGAGAACCUUAUUGCCACAUCUCAACCAAAGGAAGUCCUUUCUGGGGUCCAGCCUCGACCUCUCCUGGGGCCGUUUGAAGCAUGAAAGUCAGGUCAUAUGGAGUCCAACCGUUCCUUUUCGAGGCUGGGCCGGGCCACCUUGAAGCCCAAAUGGAAGGGACCACCUGGAGUGGGACCCUGCCAGCAUUUCUCUGCCGAAAGGGCCCUUUGAGGAGUCAGGCUAAGGACUGUUGUGCGGGGGGUGCAUGAGUGGGGAUCUCACCUAGGUGUGGGAAGGACAGAGGGGCCCCCAAAGGAAGGAUCGUAGCUUAGGGCUUUUGAGAAAAAAAUAAGGACUGGGAGCGGAGCCUGUGCCUGAGGGAGGGUUUUGGUGCAUCCCUCAACUCACUGACCUGGUCAGCUUCCCCCCACCUCCUGGGACAGAUUUUAUCAGUGUUUCAGCAGUAUUGGGGAAGGGCCUCAGCGAGCCAUUUUUCUUAAUAAAGAAAGCAAGAGGGACUCAAGUUAAGCACCAGGCAGAAUGUCUCAAUGAUGAGAGAUGUUGAACCUCAGAAAAGAAAGCAGAGGGGGGACCUUCCCAUCAAGGCGAGCCCCCAGGUGAAGUGAGCUGUGGACAAAAGUGAGGCGGCCCCGGAAGCUCCCUGUCUAUCCCGAAGGGCCUGUGCCUAGGGUGUAGUCCUUGGGGUCCCAGGAUGGAAAGGCCUCUUGUGAGGUUCUUGGUGGCUCUGGCCCUUGGGCAUGGGUUGAACCUGGGCAGGUGAGGAUGGGCAGGGGGAGAAAUCGAGGUCCAGAGUCAUUGCUGCCCCCAUCCCGGCCCACUUGGCAAAGUCGUCUUCCUUCACCGCUCAGCUUGCCUCUUCUCUGGACAGUUCCUGAUGCCCCUGAGAGGUCCUGCUGCCCCCCUGUCCCCCAGGUGCUCCCAUCACUCCUGUCCUAUGAUGGUGGGCUCCAAGCCAUCCUGCCCUCUGGGCUGUCGUGCUCCGUCCUGGCUCUCUCCUCCAGCACCCAGCAUGCUGUCCAGCACAUCACCAGUGCUCAAUGUCUCCCUUGCUCUGCUGCCCCUGAUGGUUUUCGGACUGAAUGGUUCAGGAAGGAAGAAAGAGAAGAGGAGGAGCAGAAAAAGUAUUUUAACGGUGGAAAUUUUUGUGCAAGCAAAACCUUGGAAAGAAGACUGAGGCCCAGAAGACUCUUGCCCAAGAACACACAGCUGGGGACACCGGUUUGAGCCCUGGUCCGAGAAGAUCCCACAUGCCGCGGAGCAACUAAGCCCGUGCGCCACAACUACUGAGCCUGCGCUCUAGAGCCCGCGAGCCACAACUACUGAGCCCGUGUACCACAACUACUGAAGCCUGCACACCUAGAGCCUGUGCUCUGCAACAAGAGAAGCCACUGCAAUGAGAAGCCCGUGCACCGCAACGAAGAGUAGGCCCUGCUCGCCGCAUCUCGAGAAAGCCUGCACGCAGCAGUGAAGACCAACACAGCCAAAAAUAAAUAAAUCGGAAAAAAAAAAAAAGAAUUGUCAUGGAAUGGGGUUUCCCAAUCUUUCAUCAGACCUCUCCACCCGCCCCCGCCGCCCCCCACCCCAGUCUCUCUUAGCUGUCUUUAGCUCAGGGACAUCAUUAAAAGGACCUUUGAGUGGUGAGGGGAUGUGUAGAUGAGGAAGGGAGCAGGGAGUGGAAGAGUAGCGGCAGGAUGAGAGUAGUAAAAGCUACCAUUAAUUAAACACUUACUGCAUACCAGCCUCUGUUUUAAGUGUUUUCAGUGUAUUA